rnacentral:rRNA from 1 species
AUUGAACGCUAGCGGAAGGCCUUACACAUGCAAGUCGAACGAGUGGCGGACGGGUGAGUAAUGUCUGGGAAACUGCCUGAUGGAGGGGGAUAACUACUGGAAACGGUAGCUAAUACCGCAUACCAUCAGAUGUGCCCAGAUUGGAUUAGCUGGUUGGUGGGGUAACGGCUCACCAAGGCGACGACCCCUAGCUGGUAUGAGAGGAGGACCAGACCAACUGGAACUGAGACACGGUCCAGACUCCUACGGGAGUCAGCAGUGGGGAAUAUUGCACAAUGGGCGAAAGCCUGAUACAGCCAUGCCGCGUGUAUGAAGAAGGCCUUCGGGUUGUAAAGUACUUUCAGCGGGGAGGCGUUACCCGCAGAAGAAGCACCGGCUAACUCCGUGCCAGCAGCCGCGGUAAUUC